rnacentral:rRNA from 1 species
CCUACGGGUGGCAGCAGUGGGGAAUAUUGCACAAUGGGGGAAACCCUGAUGCAGCGACGCCGCGUGAGUGAAGAAGUAUUUCGGUAUGUAAAGCUCUAUCAGCAGGGAAGAAAAAAGACGGUACCUGACUAAGAAGCCCCGGCUAACUACGUGCCAGCAGCCGCGGUAAUACGUAGGGGGCAAGCGUUAUCCGGAUUUACUGGGUGUAAAGGGAGCGUAGACGGCGCGGCAAGUCUGAAGUGAAAGGCAGGGGCUUAACCCCUGAACUGCAUUUGAAACUGUUGGUCUUGAGUAUCGGAGAGGCAGGCGGAAUUCCUAGUGUAGCGGUGAAAUGCGUAGAUAUCAGGAGGAACACCGGCGGCGAAGGCGGCCUGCUGGACCGCGACUGACGUUGAGGCUCGAAAGCGUGGGGAGCGAACAGGAUUAGAUACCCGGGUAGUC